rnacentral:misc_RNA from 1 species
CACGAUUUCCACUGUAGGGGUCCCAAAUACAAUUAAAAAGCUGGCUUCCUAUAAGCUUCAGUCAACAUUGGCCCUCAGCUUACACGCUCCAAACCAGAAACUUAGGGAAACAAUUGUGCCAAGUGCAAAAUCAUACCCCCUAGAUGCAAUUAUGAAAGAUUGCAGGGACUACUUCCUUGAAACCAGUCGACGAGUGUCCUUUGAGUAUGCUCUUUUAGCUGGGGUCAAUGAUAGAGCAGAGCAUGCAAUAGAACUUGCUGAGCUACUCC